GAAAGUUUGAAACGGAUUGUGGAGUUCAGGAGGAUUUGUUCUGUUGGAAUUUUGGUCAUCGUUUAUCAGAGAUACAAAAGAGUUCCGGAGAAAAGAAAAUAAAGAAAGUUAUAUUCGAUGAAAUGGAUGACAACGAAGUUGCGAAGUUGUAGGACCAAUGGCCAUCAAAGGGACAGAUUAAUCGAAUACGGAACUGUGCCAAUCAGUGUUUAUUUCGGGUGUGAAUGUCUGGCUGAAAGUAGGAUGCCCAGAUAUGCCCAGUUUCUUUCAAAGUAGGAAGGAUACGAUCAAACAUUUCAACAGGAUACUGAAAGGUUCAGCGAAGC